CUAUCUACGUAAUAAUAUGACUAGUACGUAGUCUGUUCUUUGGUCGAUCAUAGUACGAAUACAGCUUGUAUAGGUGGUGCAUAAUAACAUCAACGUUGACUAAAUACCUGUAUUCUGCAACAUUAAUUUAUUUUGAAGACUCAACAUUAUAAUAUGUUGUACAGUUGUAUUGAUAUUAUUAUCUUUUAUAUCAUAUGAAUAUUUUUCAGUGUUCAGUGACGUUCAUUUGUUUAAUCUAAUAUAUUAAUAUAUUUAUUGUUGAUCCUUCAAAAGUUUGCUACAAUAUUAUUUCAUUAUUGGCCAUGAAGGUGCCGUAUUCUUGGUUAAUAACAUAUUCAUGUUUAAUUUUUGGAACAGGCAUUUUAUGUGACAGAAAACUAGAAAAACGUCAAAUUGUAUCAUCUUGCUCAGUGUUG